rnacentral:rRNA from 1 species
CCUACGUGCGGCAGCAGUGAGGAAUAUUGGUCAAUGGACGCAAGUCUGAACCAGCCAUGCCGCGUGCAGGAAGACGGCUCUAUGAGUUGUACACUGCUUUUGUACGAGGGUAAACGCAGAUACGCGUAUCUGUCUGAAAGUAUCUUACGAAUAAGGAUCGGCUGACUCCGUGCCAGCAGCCGCGGUAAUACGGAGGAUUCAAGCGUUAUCCGGCUUUAUUGGGUUUAAAGGGUUCGUAGGCGGUCGUAUAAGUUAGAGGUGAAAUCCCGAGGCUCAACUUCGGAAUUGCCGUUGAUACUGUUCGGCGAGAGAGUAGUUGCGGUAGGCGGAAUGUAUGGUGUAGCGGUGAAAUGCUUAGAGAUCAUACAGAACACCGAUUGCGAAGGCAGCUUACCAAGCUAAUUCUGACGUUGAGGCACGAAAGCGUGGGGAGCAAACAGGAUUAGAUACCCCUGUAGUC